GCUGGGCGACCCUCAUCCCCUCCCCAAUCCCCUCUCCCUUUCCUCUCGCGGGCGCCGUCCACACGCCCCAAUCCCCUCCACCAGAGCACCCCAAUCCCUCCGUCUGCGGGAGCGUUGUCCGCCGCGAGCACGCCGUCCUCGAGCGCGCAGUCCUCGUCAAUGUCGUCCACGAUAGUGCCGUCCGCGCGAGCUCCGUCGAGCGCUGUCCUCGAGCGCCGUCUGCGGUCGCUACCGGCCACGCGAGCCCCGUCCUCGUGCGCCCCCUGCCCUAGGCUGACGGGAUCUGUUGGUCACCGUGCCAAACCCUAGACCGAGAUCUGUGGUGUUCUCCAGGAAAUAGCAGGCGGUGGAGGAGCUGCUUCAGUGGGUGGAGGAGCUAGAGCAGGCGGAGGCAUGGUUGCUUGGCGAGAAGAAGGCCGCGAAGAACACGUAUGCUUCUCAUGUGAGGUACCAUGGCGGCAGCCGCUCAAUCUCGAACUCACGCAAUAGCUGGUGUAGCUAUUUUUGUGCAUUUUUUGUUCUUCGCAAUUGGCUAUGCUUUGGUGCUUGGACUUGUGUGAGACAUCCUAGGUUGUUCCACUAACAAAUCCCUACUUGACCAAUGUAUUGGGUUGUUUUCUUUAGCAUUUGCAGAGUAAAUGCAUUGAGUUUAAUGUGCAAAUAUAAUUAACUGUAAACUUUGUAUGGUGCCAUUCCGUGCUGCAUAUUUUCACUUCCAUCAGUGUUCCGCUAGAAAUUAGGCCUUCUUAUGGUUUUAGAUGUGUAGCCUGUCAUAUGAUAUAUAUUUUCAUGCUGGUUCCAUCUAUCAAAUAUGUUUUGCAAAAAUCAAAAUAGGUGGACUGCUAGCACAUUUAACGGACUAUAUUUGUUGCUUUUGAGAUAACGAUGUGCACUCUGACACGGCGAAAGAAGGCAACAGAAUAUUGGCACUGAGUUGGUGGCCACAAAGACGGUGAUGUUGCGACUACGGAUGGCGCCGUCGAUCUGAUCCGAGAAGCCCCUGACGACCUCAACAUGACCGAGCCCUGCAAAACAGCUUUGUUGAGCCGAGGGUGCGUGCUGGGACGCGACAUAGAUGUUGAAAUGGAACAGAGUGCACCAAUCACUAUCUUCUCAAGUUCACAUAGACACAGCCCAUGUUGAAGAUUUUUGGUUUUCAGAAGGGGAAGAAGUUAGUUGAGACCAAGGUGGACCACGGCUCCCUGUCCAACUUAAUCUCCAAUCGAUGUGUCUGAUGAAAAAGGUGACGCAAAGGCGCAAAGCUUUACAUAAAUUCAGAAUUGUCUUCAUUGCAAGGUACCUUCAGGCUUGCAACAUCAAAGAUCCAAUACAGAACAUCGAGUGGACUUCCCCACAAGCAGGAAGGUGGAGGCGGCCAUGGUUACACAAUGUUGCAUACUGAGUCAAAAAGGCUGAAAAAUAAAGAUGACGGAGAGGAGAACGACAAACUGUUACGGCAACCACACGGCCACCAACGAGCGAUCAGACAUAUCCCUGGAGCAAUGGGUCCAAGGCGACGGGAACCUGGUGGUUAGACUCCAGAUUAUGGUUCUGAAAUUGAUGGAAUGGACAGUGACAAUGAGUUUGGGCAAGAUGAUGAUGACUUAUUUGAGGACAAAGUUGACUCUGAUGUGGAGGACAGCAUGGUGCAAUAUAAAGGCAAAAAAUGUGAAUGUGGAAGAGGUGGAGAUGGACAAGGACUUUGAUAUGUGUGAUCCUACAAAAGAUACUGAAAACCUGGUGGACAUUAUAAUGCAACAAGUAAGCUAACUUUUCAAAGCCAACUUUGUACUUGAAAUAAGAACACAAUGUUUUACUUUGUUUACUGAUGUAUUUGGGAAAUGGAGCACCAAGCUUAUGUUCAGGAGAUGCCAUUACCAGAUGAAUCUGUAUUUGUUGCUGCCCAUAGAGAGGACAUACCACCUCCCACAAUGCAUACAACUGCAACUAGAGUUGGAAGGGCAACAACUAGAGGCAGCAGAGUGAGAAAAGGUGGUAGAGGGCAUGGUUGAGAGAACCAGGACAUCAGGCUUUCCUUCCAAUGUAGGGAGACGGAAGGCAAGGUCAAGAGGAAGAGGUGGCAGAGGAUGUGCAAGAUCAAGGGGACGAGGUGGCAGAGUACAUGAGGACCACAUUGAUCUCAAUUUAGUUCCUGAUGAGAUUAGUCUAAGUGACUAACAUAGACUGCACCAGAGGCUAGCCAACAACAUUACAUUUAGCUAAAUAUUUAAGCUAUGCACAUUUUUGUAUAGCUUCUAUUUUUCCCACAAUUGUGUUCACAGGCAGCUCUGGAAACUCACAGAUUCAACCAGGAAGAUAAUUUCAUUGCUUUCAUAACAUAGUAUAUUACAUAGGCAAUGUCGUACUACUGAACGUGUAGCCAAUAAAAUCAGUGUCAGUUCAUUGAUCA